rnacentral:rRNA from 1 species
ACUAACUGGAGGACCGAACCGACUAAUGUUGAAAAAUUAGCGGAUGACCUGUGGCUGGGGGUGAAAGGCCAAUCAAACCGGGAGAUAGCUGGUUCUCCCCGAAAGCUAUUUAGGUAGCGCCUCGUGAAUUCAUCUCCGGGGGUAGAGCACUGUUUCGGCUAGGGGGCCAUCCCGGCUUACCAACCCGAUGCAAACUGCGAAUACCGGAGAAUGUUAUCACGGGAGACACACGGCGGGUGCUAACGUCCGUCGUGAAGAGGGAAACAACCCAGACCGCCAGCUAAGGUCCCAAAGUCAUGGUUAAGUGGGAAACGAUGUGGGAAGGCCCAGACAGCCAGGAUGUUGGCUUAGAAGCAGCCAUCAUUUAAAGAAAGCGUAAUAGCUCACUGGUCGAGUCGGCCUGCGCGGAAGAUGUAACGGGGCUAAACCAUGCACCGAAGCUGCGGCAGCGACACUGUGUGUUGUUGGGUAGGGGAGCGUUCUGUAAGCCUGUGAAGGUGUGUCGUGAGGCAUGCUGGAGGUAUCAGAAGUGCGAAUGCUGACAUAAGUAACGAUAAAGCGGGUGAAAAGCCCGCUCGCCGGAAGACCAAGGGUUCCUGUCCAACGUUAAUCGGGGCAGGGUGAGUCGACCCCUAAGGCGAGGCCGAAAGGCGUAGUCGAUGGGAAACGGGUUAAUAUUCCCGUACUUGGUGUUACUGCGAAGGGGGGACGGAGAAGGCUAUGUUGGCCGGGCGACGGUUGUCCCGGUUUAAGCGUGUAGGUGUGUGUUCCAGGUAAAUCCGGUUCACUUUAACACUGAGGCGUGACGACGAGGCACUACGGUGCUGAAGCAACAAAUGCCCUGCUUCCAGGAAAAGCCUCUAAGCAUCAGGUAACAUCAAAUCGUACCCCAAACCGACACAGGUGGUCAGGUAGAGAAUACCAAGGCGCUUGAGAGAACUCGGGUGAAGGAACUAGGCAAAAUGGUGCCGUAACUUCGGGAGAAGGCACGCUGACACGUAGGUGAAGUGAUUUACUCAUGGAGCUGAAGUCAGUCGAAGAUACCAGCUGGCUGCAACUGUUUAUUAAAAACACAGCACUGUGCAAACACGAAAGUGGACGUAUACGGUGUGACGCCUGCCCGGUGCCGGAAGGUUAAUUGAUGGGGUCAGCGCAAGCGAAGCUCCUGAUCGAAGCCCCGGUAAACGGCGGCCGUAACUAUAACGGUCCUAAGGUAGCGAAAUUCCUUGUCGGGUAAGUUCCGACCUGCACGAAUGGCGUAAUGAUGGCCAGGCUGUCUCCACCCGAGACUCAGUGAAAUUGAACUCGCUGUGAAGAUGCAGUGUACCCGCGGCAAGACGGAAAGACCCCGUGAACCUUUACUAUAGCUUGACACUGAACAUUGAGCCUUGAUGUGUAGGAUAGGUGGGAGGCUUUGAAGUGUGGACGCCAGUCUGCAUGGAGCCGACCUUGAAAUACCACCCUUUAAUGUUUGAUGUUCUAACGUGGACCCGUUACCCGGGUUGCGGACAGUGUCUGGUGGGUAGUUUGACUGGGGCGGUCUCCUCCUAAAGAGUAACGGAGGAGCACGAAGGUUGGCUAAUCCUGGUCGGACAUCAGGAGGUUAGUGCAAUGGCAUAAGCCAGCUUGACUGCGAGCGUGACGGCGCGAGCAGGUGCGAAAGCAGGUCAUAGUGAUCCGGUGGUUCUGAAUGGAAGGGCCAUCGCUCAACGGAUAAAAGGUACUCCGGGGAUAACAGGCUGAUACCGCCCAAGAGUUCAUAUCGACGGCGGUGUUUGGCACCUCGAUGUCGGCUCAUCACAUCCUGGGGCUGAAGUAGGUCCCAAGGGUAUGGCUGUUCGCCAUUUAAAGUGGUACGCGAGCUGGGUUUAGAACGUCGUGAGACAGUUCGGUCCCUAUCUGCCGUGGGCGCUGGAGAACUGAGGGGGGCUGCUCCUAGUACGAGAGGACCGGAGUGGACGCAUCACUGGUGUUCGGGUUGUCAUGCCAAUGGCACUGCCCGGUAGCUAAAUGCGGAAGAGAUAAGUGCUGAAAGCAUCUAAGCACGAAACUUG